GGCUUCACAGCUCAGUUGGUUAGAGCAUCGCACUGGUAUCGCGAGCUCACGGGUUCAAACCCCGUUGAAGUCC
rnacentral:tRNA from 1 species